rnacentral:rRNA from 1 species
ANUCUUUUUUNNCGGCCGNNGGACCCUGACUGUGCUAANGUAGCGUAAUCAGUUGGCUUUUAAAUGGAGUCGAGAAUGAAUGGGUUUUUGGGGGUUGGCUGUCUCCAUUAAGCUAAUUUUAAUUUAUUUAGAGGGUGAAAAUCCCCUCCCAAUCAAGAAAAAAGACGAGAAGACCCUUAGAGUUUUUAUUACACUGCUUUGGUUUAGUAGGAAGUUUUUGCUGGGGCGGCAAAGAGGCAAUGGUAACCCUCUUACAUAUUUUUUAGUAGACGUUUUUGAAAAGUAACAAUAAACUACCUUAGGGAUAACAGCAUAAUUUAGUUUAAGUUUGUGACCUCGAUGUUGGACUAGGGACUUUACGGCUAGCAGCCGCCAGGAGCAGGUUCUGUUCGAACCCCUUUCCCCUA